CAGAGAGUGAAAACUCCCUUAAAACCACUGUUUAUCUACCUGUUUGUUGCUUCGGCAGGCGGUCCCAGGGGGGGCUGUAGCCUGUGAAGGCGCCUGCCGAAGGCACCCAAACUCUGCUAUAAUUGUCAUCAGAGUCAACUGAAAAAUAAGUAA
rnacentral:misc_RNA from 1 species